rnacentral:rRNA from 1 species
UAUCGGAUUGAUACUAAGCCAUGCGAGUCAUUGCAGUAAUGCAAGGCAGACGGCUCAGUAACGCGUAGUCAACCUACCCUAUGGACGGGAAUAACCUCGGGAAACUGAGUAUAAUGCCCGAUAGAACACUAUUCCUGGAAUGGUUUGUGUUCCAAAUGAUUUAUCGCCGUGGGAUGGGACUGCGGCCUAUCAGUUUGUUGGUGAGGUAAUGGCCCACCAAGACUAUUACAGGUACGGGCUCUGAGAGGAGUAGCCCGGGGAUGGGUACUGAGACACGAACCCAGGCCCUAUGGGGCGCAGCAGGCGAGAAAACUUUGCAAUGUGCGAAAGCACGACAAGGUUAAUCCGAGUGGUUUGUGCUAAACGAACCUUUUGACAGUCCUAGAAACACUGUUGAAUAAGGGGUGGGCAAGUUCUGGUGUCAGCCGCCGCGGUAAAACCAGCACCUCAAGUGGUCAGGAUGAUUAUUGGGCCUAAAGCAUCCGUAGCCGGCUCUGUAAGUUUUCGGUUAAAUCUGUACGCUCAACGUACAGGCUGCCGGGAAUACUGCAGAGCUAGGGAGUGGGAGAGGUAGACGGUACUCGGUAGGAAGGGGUAAAAUCCUUUGAUCUAUUGAUGACCACCUGUGGCGAAGGCGGUCUACCAGAACACGUCCGACGGUGAGGGAUGAAAGCUGGGGGAGCAAACCGGAUUAGAUACCCGGGUAGUCCCAGCUGUAAACUAUGCAAACUCAGUGAUGCAUUGGCUUGUGGCCAAUGCAGUGCUGCAGGGAAGCCGUUAAGUUUGCCGCCUGGGAAGUACGUACGCAAGUAUGAAACUUAAAGGAGUUGGCGGGGGAGCACCACAAGGGGUGAAGCCUGCGGUUCAAUUGGAUUC